GAAAUGCGAUAAGUAAUGUGAAUUGCAGAAUUCAGUGAAUCAUCGAAUCUUUGAAUGCACCUUGCGCUCCUUGGUAUUCCUUGGAGCAUGCCUGUUUGAGUAUCAUGAAAUCUUCAAAGUAAAUCUUUUGUUAACUCAAUUGGUUUCUACUUUGGUAUUGGAGGUCUUUGCAGCUUCACACCUGCUCCUCUUUGUUCAUUAGCUGGAUCUCAGUGUUAUGCUUGGUUCCACUCGGCGUGAUAAGUUAUCUAUCGCUGAGGACACUGUAAAAGGUGGCCAAGGUAAAUGCAGAUGAACCGCUUCUAAUAGUCCAUUGACUUGGACAAUACUUUUAUGACCUGAUCUCAAAUCAGGUAGGACUACCCGCUGAACUUAAGC
rnacentral:misc_RNA from 1 species